rnacentral:rRNA from 1 species
AUUGAACGCUGGCGGCAGGCUUAACACAUGCAAGUCGAGCGGAGCGAGGGUGCUUGCACCUUAGCUUAGCGGCGGACGGGUGAGUAAUGCUUAGGAAUCUGCCUAUUAGUGGGGGACAACAUUCCGAAAGGAAUGCUAAUACCGCAUACGCCCUACGGGGGAAAGCAGGGGAUCUUCGGACCUUGCGCUAAUAGAUGAGCCUAAGUCGGAUUAGCUAGCUGGUGGGGUAAAGGCCUACCAAGGCGACGAUCUGUAGCGGGUCUGAGAGGGUGAUCCGCCACACUGGGACUGAGACACGGCCCAGACUCCUACGGGAGGCAGCAGUGGGGAAUAUUGGACAAUGGGCGGAAGCCUGAUCCAGCCAUGCCGCGUGUGUGAAGAAGGCCUUUUGGUUGUAAAGCACUUUAAGCGAGGAGGAGGCUACUUAGAUUAAUACUCUGGGAUAGUGGACGUUACUCGCAGAAUAAGCACCGGCUAACUCUGUGCCAGCCGCCGCAGUAA